AAAGAAACUUACUUACAAGUUCUGAUAAAGAAGAAGAGCAGAUAACAAUACACAGAAAUAUAUAUAGUACCCUGCUUGGAAUGUGGUAUUCCAGAUUGGAGAUAUUUGUGGCGAUGCAAUGAUUAUACUGUGGUGCGCUGAAUGGGGGCUAUGAGAAUCUGAACAGAAAGGCUUUCUUCUUCCAAAUAAAGUUGAAAAAGAAUAAAUGAGCAACAAAGAAGAAUCCUAGUUUUUCCAGCAUCAGUCAUACGCAUCUUCUUGAACCAAGCUGUGGAUAAGAUAUUAGGAUUGAUCCAACAGGAGUACAAUGUUGAUGCAUUUGGAUCAUUUAGCUAAGGGAGAAGUAGAUGGUGGAAGUUAAAGUAGGAGGAUUGCAUGGCUUGACUACCAGAGGAAUCUCGGAGGAGAAACCUGCCGUACUCAUGUCAACUACAACUGCCUGCUGUGUACUGGGUACUAGGCCCAGUAUCGAGAAUAAUGAAGGGAACAAGACAAAUUUCCCUGGAAAGGCUCUUCUGUGAAACCUGAUCCUGUCACCACCCACUCAUGACCAGCAGGGCUAACCACUACCUCUUCUGGGCUACUAGUCCUUUGCAGAUAUUAUUAAGUUGCUGUUAUUUGUAUCCGUUUUCCUCAGGAGGCCAUAACACCUUUGAAAUGGAAGCCGCUGGCAUCUUACCUUAAUACUGUGCCUGGCAUGCAGAUGUGAUUCCAUGAAUGCUUGUUUAUCGGCUAAAGGUUGAAAGAGUGAAAGAACAAAUGACUGAUUGGUUAAAUAAAUGAAUUAAUGCCUUCCCCUCAUACUGAGACAACUGUAGAUGGGGGCCUUUCUCCUUUCCUAAAGCAACCCCACUGGAGAGGCGAAUUUGGCUCACUGGAAAAGUGAUGGAAGGGCAUCUGAUCUACUCUGACAUGUUUCAAUUUAAGCUUAUCCUUCUCUUGCUCCUUUGCUGUAAGUCUAUCUUUUGGGCUAUGAGAUUUUUAUUGAAUUUUUGAUGUGUGAAUGAAUCACCAUGUAAAAUGUAAGCUCUUUCUUGAAUAAAAUUACACAAACAAAAUAC